rnacentral:rRNA from 1 species
UGGGGAAUCUUGCGCAAUGGGCGAAAGCCUGACGCAGCAACGCCGCGUGCGGGAAGAAGGCCUUCGGGUUGUAAACCGCUUUCAGCAGGGAAGAGGGCGAGCAGGUUAAUAGCCUGUCAGCUGACGGUACCUGCAGAAGAAGGCCCGGCUAACUACGUGCCAGCAGCCGCGGUAAUACGUAGGGGCCGAGCGUUGUCCGGAAUCAUUGGGCGUAAAGAGCGUGUAGGCGGCUACUUAAGUCCUGCGUGAAAUCUCGGGGCUCAACCCCGAGCGGUCGUGGGAAACUGGGUGGCUAGAGUGCGGGAGAGGAGAGUGGAAUUCCUGGUGUAGCGGUGGAAUGCGCAGAUAUCAGGAAGAACACCCGUGGCGAAGGCGGCUCUCUGGAACGCAACUGACGCUGAGACGCGAAAGCGUGGGGAGCAAACAGGAUUAGAUACCCCCGUAGUCC